GCGAAGGGUUUAGAAAUCCAUUUUUAUGGUAUGGGUUGCCACUAAAGCAUAGAAACCCAUUCCUAUGAUUGUGACAGAUGGAAUUCAUGUAGUGUUUGAAAGUCCAUGAACCAGGUAGGCUACCUUGAGCUGUUGCAUGUUUGUUCUAUCAGUGCUAACACACCUGAUUCAACUGGUCAACUCAUUCUUCAAACCCUUGAUUAGUUACAUCAGGUGUGCUAGUGCUGGGAUUUAACAAAUAUGUGCAACAGUCUACGGCUUGGGGUCCCUGAGGAGUGGAUUGGUCAAGACUGAUCAAGCACGGUAGGUUUGGGAGACAUGGAUUGGUCAAGACUGAUCUAGCACGGUAGGUUUGGGAUACAUGGAUCGGUCAAGACUGAUCUAGCACAGUAGGUAUGGGAGACAUGGAUUGGUCAAGACUGAGCUAGCACGGUAUGUUUGGGAGACAUGGAUCGGUCAAGACUGAUCUAGCACAUUAGGUAUGGGAGACAUGGAUUGGUCAAGACUGAUCAAGCACGGUAGGUUUGGGAGACAUGGAUCGGUCAAGACUGAUCUAGCACGGUAGGUUUGGGAGACAUGGAUUGGUCAAGACUGAGCUAGCACGGUAGGUUUGGGAGACAUGGAUUGGUCAAGACUGAGCUAGCACGGUAGGUUUGGGAGACAUGGAUUGGUCAAGACUGAGCUAGCACAGUAGGUUUGGGAGACAUGGAUUGGUCAAGACUGAUCUAGCACAGUAGGUUUGGGAGACAUGGAUUGGUCAAGACUGAGCUAGCACGGUAGGUUUGGGAGACAUGGAUUGGUCAAGACUGAUCGAGCACAGUAAGUUUGGGAGACAUGGAUUGGUCAAGACUGAUCUAGCACAUUAGGUUUGGGAGACAUGGAUUGGUCAAGACUGAUCUAGCACAUUAGGUUUGGGAGACAUGGAUUGGUCAAGACUGAUCUAGCACAGUAGGUUUGGGAGACAUGGAUUGGUCAAGACUGAUCUAGCACAGUAGGUUUGGGAGACUCAUUCCCUCGUCUGGUCAUGAAAGGUCUUUAUUAUCAUUAGAUGACAGAUAAACAUGAAUGCAAUUAAAAGUAGACAUGAAAAGGCACUGAUUACAAUGCAUGUAUACAUACAUAUUGGAUCUACCAUAGCAAUAGCAAGUCAACAACAAUGGUUGUGAUCAGACUAAUACACAGGAGAGAGAGAGAACCGGGCCUCAUAUCUAAAAAGCCACUAGCAGACGUUGACUUGAUUGUUGAUUACGGGGACUCCCAGUCCCAGCGAUAUCAUAUUCAUGAGCCAAAUGGUGCAUGUUGUAAUAUGCAUGAGCAAAUUAGAUGUGUGAAGAACAAGAGGGGGCUGCUCCAAAUGCACCGGGAUUCAUAAACACUACUUUGAUUAUUUUUUCUGCCAUAAUAAAUUGAUGCAAAUGUUGUUUUCUUGUAUCAUUGAUCCAGUUACGAUGCUCCCUGCAGCAAUGCAGUCCCUUUCUCAUUUAAGGGGAUUUAUCAGAGAAAAGGAAAUGGAGGGUGUCUUUGUGGGGCCAUAUUAUCUGGGUUUUAUUCAUUAGGGAACAAGUAGCAAAACUUUUUGCAACAGAGAACAAAAACCUGCAUCUCUCAUUGGACUGCUUCUGGUAUUCGCUUCCUGUUUCAUUCCGUUUUCUUCCACUCGGUGCCAAAUGAAUACAACCCUGUUAGCCUGGGCUAGGGAACAGAAGGGUGUCUAAUCAAACAGAGCCGUGUUUAAAGGUCCCCCUUCAGAUGAGGCUGUGUUCAUGACCCAGGAUCAAGGAGACAAGACAGGCCUUUUCUGCAACAUGGAGCCAGUCAGUGCCGGACAGGGGGACGAGCACCUAUGAGGGCCACGAGGGACGUGUGCAGGAGAAAAGAUGACUGUAUCUUAUAAAGAUAACACUUGUGGGCGAUGUCAGAGGAGAGAAUACUUGUACACACAUUUUAUUGUAGGGUUUGUUGCUGUGAUACGUAGGAAUCUGCUUAUGAAAUUCUAAUAAGUUGCAAAUCAGGCAUUGUUGAGUGCUUGUCAAAUAUUACUGUAGCUAAUACUUCAUUCUUGCUAUUCAACAAGCUUUACGCUGCAAUGCCGAAUAAGACACCUAUAACCUCUGUAAAUAGC
rnacentral:lncRNA from 1 species